UCCAUGCCAUAAUCCAUAUCCUCAACAAUACCAAGAUCCCCAAUAUGCUUUUUAUGAUCAAUACCCUCAAUGUUCACAAGACUACAAUCCACCUCAACCUCCUUUUCCACCACAAGAUUGCUCUCCAAAUCCAUACCCUUCACCCAUUCAUUACACACCAUACCCCCAAGACACUCAACCCUCAUAUGAUCAUCACAUCCAUUCACCAAGUGUUGGGAUCUAUGGGAAAAGUGAGC